rnacentral:tRNA from 1 species
GGCGCUGUAGCAAAGUGGUUAAUGCGAUUGACUCGAAUCAGUUGAGGUACCUCAACCUGUUGAUAUCAAUUCCCUUCGGGGGCGCAGGUUCGAAUCCUGCCGGCGUCG